rnacentral:rRNA from 1 species
AACGGACGCUGGCGGCAUGCCUAACACAUGCAAGUCGAACGAGACCUUCGGGUCUAGUGGCGCACGGGUGCGUAACGCGUGGGAAUCUGCCCUUGGGUUCGGAAUAACAGUUAGAAAUGACUGCUAAUACCGGAUAAUGUCUUCGGACCAAAGAUUUAUCGCCAGAAGAGGAGCCCGCGUCCGAUUAGGUAGUUGGCGGGGUAAAGGCCUACCAAGCCGACGAUCGGUAGCUGGUCUGAGAGGAUGAUCAGCCACACUGGGACUGAGAUACGGCCCAGACUCCUACGGGAGGCAGCAGUGGGGAAUAUUGGACAAUGGGGGCAACCCUGAUCCAGCAAUGCCGCGUGAGUGAUGAAGGCCUUAGGGUUGUAAAGCUCUUUUACCCGGGAAGAUAAUGACUGUACCGGGAGAAUAAGCCCCGGCUAACUUCGUGCCAGCAGCCGCGGU